rnacentral:misc_RNA from 1 species
GUUCCGUAGGUGAACCUGCGGAAGGAUCAUUCAUAAUAAGUGUUUUAUGGCACUUUUUUAAAUCCAUAUCCACCUUGUGUGCAAUGUCAGGGUUGAUUUUUCUCUCGAGAGGAUCAACCCCAAACAUCAACUAUAUCUCAACUCUUUGUCUGAAAAAUAUUAUGAAUAAAACAAUUCAAAAUACAACUUUCAACAACGGAUCUCUUGGCUCUC